rnacentral:sRNA from 1 species
UACGAAUGCGAAAUGUGAGUCAAAAACGA